rnacentral:rRNA from 1 species
UACGUAGGGGGCAAGCGUUGUCCGGAUUUAUUGGGCGUAAAGAGCGUGUAGGCGGCCAGGUAGGUCGGUUGUGAAAACUGGAGGCUCAACCUCCAGACGUCGACCGAAACCAUCUGGCUAGAGUCCGGAAGAGGAGAGUGGAAUUCCUGGUGUAGCGGUGAAAUGCGCAGAUAUCAGGAAGAACACCCGUGGCGAAAGCGGCUCUCUGGGACGGUACUGACGCUGAGACGCGAAAGCGUGGGGAGCGGACAGG